GUGCCAGCAGCCGCGGUAAUACGUAGGGGGCAAGCGUUACUCGGAUUUAUUGGGCGUAAAGAGAAUUCAGGCGGUCAUGUAAGUCAGUGGUGAAAUACCUCGGCUAAACUGAGGAAUUGCCUUUGAUACUGCGUGACUCGAGGACAGGAGAGGAAGGCGGAAUUCCCGGUGUAGCGGUGGAAUGCGUAGAUAUCGGGAGGAACACCUGAGGCGAAGGCGGCUUUCUGGACUGGUCCUGACUCUGAUAUUCGAAAGCUAGGGGAGCAAACAGGAUUAGAUACCCUGGUAGUCCUAGCUGUAAACGAUGGAUACUAGAUCUUGCAUGAUUUUGCUUGGUCGAAGCUAACGCGUUAAGUAUCCCGCCUGGGGAGUACGGUCGCAAGGCUGAAACUUAAAUGAAUUGACGGGG
rnacentral:rRNA from 1 species